AGAGAUCCACUGUUUCUAUAUUUCGAGGUGGAGUCUUAGGUCCCAAGAUGGAGAGCUGGGUACCGGGGCAAUUUUCCUGACAAUCAUUCUGACCUAAGAUUUUCCCACCCAGAACUGAUUUUAGAAAGAAAAGACCAGUGCACUCACCAUCCGAAAGAAUCAGUGAAUGUUCUUUUCUCCUGACAACCGCAGCAGCCCCGCAAGGAAGCACUUAGGAAACGACUGUUAAGGCAGGAGCUCUAGAAAAGCCCAGGCCAGGGCAGAGCGCGCCAGAGGUCGGGGUCGCGCCCGGCAGCGGGACCGGGACCGGAGACCCUGACCUGCGGGCUGGGAGCGGGGCGGCACCUCGUACCUCGGGUGAAGGGUCUGGCACAGGGUGGUCGUAGUGUCCGACUCCCGCGCCAGCACCCGAGGAGCACAGCUGCACGCCCAAACGACAACCAGCGCGUCGCGAGUCCCCUCACACCAGUCAGGGAUUUCAAAUCUGACCCCGCCCUCCCGCCGGCUCGGGAUUGGCUCGCUCAGCAGCUGCGUCGCCACGCGUCUCGCUGCGACUCAAGGAAACCUGGGGCACCAAUCUAGCGCCGAGUGGACACCGCUGUGCCCGUAAAACGUGUGUCACCCCGUGCGGCCAAGAGUAUGGGGCGCAACCCGAUCCGCGGAAUUCAUUUCGUUUUUACAGGGCGCGCGCCCACAUCGCGUUCUGCCAUUCUUCCCAGGGUGCUCUGCGGCGGAAAAACACGUCACAGACGCCGCCCGCGUUCUUAGAGCUACAUCGGUUACUAAGUUUGGCCCUUCCCGGUCACCCUUCCCCAUUACCGACCUCGUUUGGCUGAAGGAUGGUUUCCAGAUCCCUCGUCUGAGAAAUUUCACUGGAGAAAGGAAAGGAAGAAGGAUGAGAAAGCAUGGCCGCUGUAGUUGCUGUUUGCAGUGGUCUGGGGAGGAAGAAGUUGACUCACUGGGUGACAGCUGCUGUCUGGCUCAUGGAUCCCGGACCUCCCACGGUGCUAAGGACAAGUUGUUCAUAGUCUAAACAGUGCCUGCAAUUUUUCAUCGCUUUUGUGUGGACCAUCGUUCUUAACUGCCAGCAUUUUUGUUGCCACUCCUGAUUAACACCUGAUUUAAUGGAAACUUUGUGAAGCCCACCUGCAAGAGGUUGUGACUUGGGUGAAGAGUUCAUGGGAUAAAAUCACUGAUAGCUGUGUUUCCAAUGCACUAUGAGCAGGCUUUAUGCACAAGAAGUGCUCAUUUAAGGAGAGCUCAAUUGUUGGACAUGAAAGAUUGGGGCCAAUGAUUCAACAAGAAAUUGAGUCACAAGAAAUUCAGACUGGAAUUUUGGAUUUGGAGAGUUACGUUGUUCCAAAAGAAGAUGACAUGACUUUUAAUAAAUGUAGAUUUUUUUUACAUGAAUAAAUGAAUAAAUUUAAAUUGUUGUACAUGAAAAAAUAAGACAUCUUCUGAAAUUAAGCCCUCUUGUGUCUUUUGGGGUAAAAAUUAAUGUAAGACCUUGUUUUAUUUUGGGGGAAAUACACUAUGAUGCCAUAGCAUACUCGAGGUUUUUGUUCCUAAUUUUAACUUAGUUUACAUUGAAUAACCGUUCCCCAUACCCUAUUUUCCCACUCUGGUAACUACUACCUUACCCUUAACUUUUUUGAGAUCAAUGUUUUUAGAUUCCUCAUAAUAAUGAGGCCAUGUAGUAUUUGUCUUUCUGUGUCUGGCAUAUUUCACUUAAUGUAAUGAUCUCUAGUUCAAUCCACAUUGCUACAAAUUAUGAGAUUUUAUUGUUUUUUUAACGGCUUAAUAGUACUCCAUUAUAUAUUUGCCACUUUAAAAAAUCUGUUCAUCUGUUGAUAGACACUUAGGUUAUUCGCAUUUCUUGGCUUAUGUGAAUAAUGUUGCAAUGAGUAUGGGAGUGCAGAUGUCUCUUUGACAUACUGGUUUCAUUUCUUUUGGGUAUUUACCCAGUAGAGGGAUUGUUGAAUCAUAUGGUAGUUCUAUUUUUAAGUUUCUGAGGAACUUCCAUAUGGUUUUCUGUAGUACCUGUGCCAAUAUACAUUCUCACCAACAGUAUGAAGUGGUUCCAUUUUUUUCUACAUCUUAACUAUCACUUGUCAUCUUUAGUAUUUUUCAUAAUAGCCAUUCUUACUGGGCAGGAAGAUUCUUAAUAGGAACAAGUUUGAUUGAGAUAGGACUCAUUUACUUUUUCUAUCUGGAAUGUGAAUGUGAUAGCUAGAACUCAGUAGUCAUCCUGGUUCAUGAGGUGACUUUGAAGGUGAAAGCCACUUGUUAAAGAUAGUGGAGAGGAUUGAAUGAAUUAAGAAGGCUUUUUAGCAGCCACCAUGUUAGCUUUUCACAGAAGAGAAUGAACAUUUGAGUGGUUAAAUUUUUUUA
rnacentral:lncRNA from 1 species